UACGUAGGGGCUAGCGUUAUCCGGAAUUACUGGGCGUAAAGGGUGCGUAGGUGGUUUCUUAAGUCAGAGGUGAAAGGCUACGGCUCGACCGUAGUAAGCCUUUGAAACUGAGAAACUUGAGUGCAGGAGAGGAGAGUAGAAUUCCUAGUGUAGCGGUGAAAUGCGUAGAUAUUAGGAGGAAUACCAGUUGCGAAGGCGGCUCUCUGGACUGUAACUGACACUGAGGCACGAAAGCGUGGGGAGCAAACAGGAUUAGAUACCCUGGUAGUCCCUGA
rnacentral:rRNA from 1 species